rnacentral:rRNA from 1 species
UACAGAGGGUGCAAACGUUGUUCGGAAUUACUGGGCGUAAAGGGCGCGCAGGCGGCUCGACAAGUCAGAUGUGAAAGCCCCGGGCUCAACCUGGGAACGGCAUUUGGGACUGUCGGGCUAGAGUUCGGGAGAGGUGGGUGGAAUUCCCAGUGUAGAGGUGAAAUUCGUAGAUAUUGGGAAGAACACCGGUGGCGAAGGCGGCUCACUGGACCGAGACUGACGCUGAGGCGCGAAAGCGUGGGGAGCAAACAGG